rnacentral:sRNA from 1 species
CGCCUAAACCAGUAAUGCUGGCAUGGCUACAAAAUCCUACGCGAACAGAAACGGCCCCAUAGGCUGGCACUCUAUUCGCGUAGGUCAUGCUCCCGAAAGGGACAUGGGUAGUCUCCGAAAGGAGGUUGCC